UACGGAGGAUGCAAGCGUUAUCCGGAUUUAUUGGGUUUAAAGGGUGCGCAGGUUGUUUGAUAAGUCAGUAGUGAAAGUCUGUCGCUUAACGGUAGGAUUGCCAUUGAUACUGCUGGACUUGAAUAUGGAUGAGGUAGGCGGAAUGUGUAGUGUAGCGGUGAAAUGCAUAGAUAUUACACAGAACACCGAUUGCGAAGGCAGCUUACUAAUCCAUCAUUGACGCUGAGGCACGAAAGCGUGGGGAU
rnacentral:rRNA from 1 species